UACGUAGGGACCGAGCGUUGUCCGGAAUCAUUGGGCGUAAAGAGCGUGUAGGCGGCCACUUAAGUCCUGCGUGAAAUCUUGCGGCUCAACCGCAAGCGGUCGUGGGAAACUGGGUGGCUAGAGUGCGGGAGAGGAGAGUGGAAUUCCCAGUGUAGAGGUGAAAUUCGUAGAUAUUGGGGAAGAACACCGGUGGCGAAGGCGGCUCACUGGCUCAUUUCUGACGCUCAGGCGCGACAGCGUGGGGAGUACAAGAG
rnacentral:rRNA from 1 species